UUCCAGACUCCUACGGGAGGCAGCAGUGGGGAAUAUUGCACAAUGGGGGAAACCCUGAUGCAGCGACGCCGCGUGAGCGAUGAAGUAUUUCGGUAUGUAAAGCUCUAUCAGCAGGGAAGAAGAUGACGGUACCUGACUAAGAAGCCCCGGCUAACUACGUGCCAGCAGCCGCGGUAAUACGUAGGGGGCAAGCGUUAUCCGGAUUUACUGGGUGUAAAGGGAGCGUAGACGGCGAUGCAAGCCAGAUGUGAAAGCCCGGGGCUCAACCCCGGGACUGCAUUUGGAACUGUGUGGCUGGAGUGUCGGAGAGGCAGGCGGAAUUCCUAGUGUAGCGGUGAAAUGCGUAGAUAUUAGGAGGAACACCAGUGGCGAAGGCGGCCUGCUGGACGAUGACUGACGUUGAGGCUCGAAAGCGUGGGGAGCAAACAGGAUUAGAUACCCCAGUAA
rnacentral:rRNA from 1 species